rnacentral:tRNA from 1 species
UUGGGGAUUUAGCUCAGUGGUAGAGCGCUUGCCUAGCAAGUGCAAGGCCCUGGGUUCGGUCCUCAGUUCUGGAA